rnacentral:rRNA from 1 species
GACGAACGCUGGCGGCGUGCCUAAUACAUGCAAGUCGAACGCAGUGGGGACGGGUGCGUAACACGUGGGUAACCUCCCAUCAGAGGGGAUAACACUUGGAAACAGGUGCUAACCCGAUAUUGAUGUAUGGACCCGCGGUGCAUGAGCUAGUCGGUGAGGUAACGGCUCACCAAGGCCACGAUGCAUAGCCGGCCUGAGAGGGUGAUCGGACACACGUGGACUGAGACACGGCCCAGACUCCGACGGGAGGCAGCAGUAGGGAAUCUUCUGCAAUGGACGAAAGUCUGACCGAGCAACGCCGCGUGAGUGAAGAAGGUUUUCGGAUCGUAAAACUCUGUUGUUAGAGAAGCGGUAUCUAACCAGAAAGCCACGGCUAACUACGUGCCAGCAGCCGCGGUAAUAC